rnacentral:rRNA from 1 species
UGCCAGCCGCCGCGGUAAUACGAAGGGACCUAGCGUAGUUCGGAAUUACUGGGCUUAAAGAGUUCGUAGGUGGUUGAAAAAGUUGGUGGUGAAAUCCCAGAGCUUAACUCUGGAACUGCCAUCAAAACUUUUCAGCUAGAGUAUGAUAGAGGAAAGCAGAAUUUCUAGUGUAGAGGUGAAAUUCGUAGAUAUUAGAAAGAAUACCAAUUGCGAAGGCGACUCUCUGGGCCAAUACUGACGCUGAGGUUCGAAAGCGUGGGGAGCGAACGGGAUUAGAUA